AAACCAACAGGGAUUGCCUCAGUAACGGCGAGUGAAGCGGCAACAGCUCAAAUUUGAAAUCUGGCCCCAGGCCCGAGUUGUAAUUUGCAGAGGAUGCUUUUGGUGCGGUGCCUUCCAAGUUCCCUAGAACGGGACGCCAGAGAGGGUGAGAGCCCCGUACAGUUGGACACCAAGCCUUUGUAAAGCUCCUUCGACGAGUCGAGUAGUUUGGGAAUGCUGCUCAAAAUGGGAGGUAUAUUUCUUCUAAAGCUAAAUACCGGCCAGAGACCGAUAGCGCACAAGUAGAGUGAUCGAAAGAUGAAAAGCACUUUGAAAAGAGGGUUAAACAGCACGUGAAAUUGUUAAAAGGGAAGCGCUUGUGACCAGACUUGCGUCCGGUGAAUCACCCAGCUCUCGCGGCUGGGGCACUUCGCCGGCUCAGGCCAGCAUCAGCUCGCUGUCGGGGACAAAAGCUUCAGGAACGUAGCUCUCUUCGGGGAGUGUUAUAGCCUGUUGCACAAUACCCUUCGGCGGGCUGAGGUACGCGCUCCGCAAGGAUGCUGGCAUAAUGGUCAUCAGCGACCCGUCUUGAAACACGGACCAAGGAGUCAACCUUAUGUGCGAGUGUUCGGGUGUCAAACCCCUACGCGUAAUGAAAGUGAACGCAGGUGAGAGCUUCGGCGCAUCAUCGACCGAUCCUGAUGUUCUCGGAUGGAUUUGAGUAAGAGCAUAUAGGGUUGGACCCGAAAGAAGGUGAACUAUGCGUGUAUAGGGUGAAGCCAGAGGAAACUCUGGUGGAGGCUCGCAGCGGUUCUGACGUGCAAAUCGAUCGUCAAAUAUGCGCAUGGGGGCGAAAGACUAAUCGAACCUUCUAGUAGCUGGUUUCCGCCGAAGUUUCCCUCAGGAUAGCAGUGUUGAACUCAGUUUUAUGAGGUAAAGCGAAUGAUUAGGGACUCGGGGGCGCUAUAUUGCCUUCAUCCAUUCUCAAACUUUAAAUAUGUAAGAAGCCCUUGUUGCUUAAUUGAACGUGGGCAUUCGAAUGUAUCAACACUAGUGGGCCAUUUUUGGUAAGCAGAACUGGCGAUGCGGGAUGAACCGAACGCGAGGUUAAGGUGCCAGAGUAGACGCUCAUCAGACACCACAAAAGGUGUUAGUACAUCUUGACAGCAGGACGGUGGCCAUGGAAGUCGGAAUCCGCUAAGGACUGUGUAACAACUCACCUGCCGAAUGUACUAGCCCUGAAAAUGGAUGGCGCUCAAGCGUCUCA
rnacentral:rRNA from 1 species